CAGCCGUAAACAAUGUGCGUUAGGUGUGUCGGUAACCACGCGUUACUGACGCGCCGAAGAGAAAUCGUGAAACGCACCACCUGGGAAGUACGGUCGCAAGGCUGAAACUUAAAGGAAUUGGCGGGGGAGCACCACAACAGGUGGAGCCUGCGGUUUAAUUGGAUUCAACGCCGGACAUCUCACCGGAUAAGACAGCUGAAUGAUUGUCAAUCUGAAGGUUUUACAUGACUAGCUGAGAGGUGGUGCAUGGCGUCAGUG
rnacentral:rRNA from 1 species